AUAUAUAAGAGCAUUUUAAUUAUUCAAAGUUUGGGUUCAAAAUUGAUCGUAAGGGUUGAAAUUGGAUCUAGCAUCAUGUGUUAUUCAUUGUCGAAGAACACAACAUGAAUCUGAUUUGGGGGAGACAACUCUAAUGCACCUUUGCUCGUCGACGUUGAAGAAGAAGGUAUGUUUCAUCCGUUAUGAUGCAAUAAAUUUUUCCUUUUGCUUUUCUAAUGCAGGUACAACCUACGAUGUUGCCAACGAAGAAGGUGGUGUGUAUGGAGAAG
rnacentral:lncRNA from 1 species